AAUCAACGCUGGCGGCGUGCCUCAGACAUGCAAGUCGAACGAUUAAAGCUCUCUUCGGAGAGUGUAUAGAGUGGCGCACGGGUGAGUAACACGUAAGUAAUCUACCUUUGAGUGGGGAAUAACCCGGGGAAACCCGAGCUAAUACCGCAUAAUGCAGCGGCACCGCAAGGUGACAGUUGUUAAAGGAGCAAUCCGCUUAAAGAGGAGCUUGCGGCAGAUUAGCUAGNGGUAAGGUAAUGGCUUACCAAGGCUUCGAUCUGUAUCCGGCCUGAGAGGGCGGUCGGACACACUGACACUGAAUAACGGGUCAGACUCCUACGGGAGCAGCAGUCGGGAAUUUUGGGCAAUGGGCGAAAGCCUGACCCAGCAACGCCGCGUGAAGGAUGAAGUAUUUCGGUAUGUAAACUUCGAAAGAAUGGGAAGAAUCAAUGACGGUACCAUUUAUAAGGUCCGGCUAACUACGUGCCAGCCGCCGCCGUAA
rnacentral:rRNA from 1 species